rnacentral:rRNA from 1 species
GCAGUCGAGCGCAUGAAAUUAUUUGAUUCUCUUCGGAGUUGACGAUAAUGGAAUGAGCGGCGGACGGGUGAGUAACACGUAGGCAACCUGCCUGUAAGACUGGGAUAACUCGUGGAAACGCGAGCUAAUACCGGAUAACACUUUUCAUCUCCUGAUGAGAAGUUGAAAGGCGGCUUUUGCUGUCACUUACAGAUGGGCCUGCGGCGCAUUAGCUAGUUGGUAAGGUAACGGCUUACCAAGGCGACGAUGCGUAGCCGACCUGAGAGGGUGAUCGGCCACACUGGGACUGAGACACGACCCAUACUCAUACGGGAGGCAGCAGUAGGGAAUCUUCCGCAAUGGACGAAAGUCUGACGGAGCAACGCCGCGUGAGUGAUGAAGGUUUUCGGAUCGUAAAACUCUGUUGUUAGGGGAAGAACAAGUACUAUAGUAACUGAUAGUACCUUGACGGUACCUAACCAGAAAGCCACGGCUAACUACGUGCCAGCAGCCGCGGUAAUACGUAGGUGGCAAGCGUUGUCCGAAAUUAUUGGGGCGUAAAGCGCUCGCAGGCGGUUCUUUAAGUCUGAUGUGAAAUCUUACGGCUCAACCGUAAACGUGCAUUGUAAACUGGGGGAACUUGAGUGCAGAAGAGGAGAGUGCAUUUCCACGUGUAGC